GAACGCAUAUUGCGCUCUUUGGUAUUCCGAAGAGCAUGCUUGUUUGAGUAUCAGUAAACACCUCAAAACUCUUGAUCUUUUUCAAGCGUUUUGGACUUGAGCAAACCCAACGCCUUUUCUUUUAAGAUCUGUUGCGGCGGGUUGCUUGAAAUGCAGGUGCAGCUGGACAAUCUCCUGAGCUAAAAGCAUAUCUAUUUAGUCCUCGUCAAACAGGAUUAUUACUUUUGCUGCAGCUAACAUAAAGGAUAAUUGUCCUCUUUGCUGACUGAUGCAGGAUUUUACGACACUUUAUGUGUUGUUCAACUCGAUCUCAAAUCAAGUAAGACUACCCGCUGAACUUAAG
rnacentral:misc_RNA from 1 species